rnacentral:tRNA from 1 species
GGGAGCGGUUGUCGCCCGGUGGCGGCCCCGGUCUUCAACACCGGUGCGGUCGCGGGUGACGCGGCCGGGUGGGUUCGACUCCCAUGCGCUCCCGCCA